rnacentral:rRNA from 1 species
ACACGGACCAAGGAGUCUAACAUAUGUGCAAGUUAUUGGGAUAUAAACCUAAUAGCAUAAUUAACUUGACUAAUAAUGGGAUUAGUUUUUUAACUAUUUAUAGAUAAUUCAUACAAUCCCGGGGCGUUCUAUAUAGUUAUGUAUAAUGAUAUUUAUAUUAUUUAUACCUCUAACUGGAACGUACCUUGAGCAUAUAUGCUGUGACCCGAAAGAUGGUGAACUAUACUUGAUCAGGUUGAAGUCAGGGGAAACCCUGAUGGAGGACCGAAACAGUUCUGACGUGCAAAUCGAUUGUCAGAAUUGAAUAUAGGGGCGAAAGACCAAUCGAACCAUCUAGUAGCUGGUUCCUUCCGAAGUUUCCCUCAGGAUAGCUGGUGCAUUUAAAUGUUAUAUAAAAUAAUCUUAUCUGGUAAAGCGAAUGAUUAGAGGCCUUAGUGUCGAAACGAACUUAACCUGUUCUCAAACUUUAAAUGGGUAAGAACCUUAACUUGUGCCCAGUGGGCGACUUUUGGUAAGCAGAACUGGCGCUGUGGGAUGAACCAAACGUAAUGUUACGGUGCCCAAAUUAACAACUCAUACAAAAACCAUGAAAGGCGUUGGUUGCUUAAAACAGCAGGACGGUGAUCAUGGAAGUCGAAAUCCGCUAAGGAGUGUGUAACAACUCACCUGCCGAAGCAACUAGCCCUUAAAAUGGAUGGCGCUUAAGUUGUAUACCUAUACAUUACCGCUAAAGUGGAUGAUUUAUAUUAUUUAUAAUAAAUUUUGAAACUUUAGUCAGUAGGAAGGUACAAUGGUGUGCUUAGAAGUGUUUGGCGUAAGCCUGCAUGGAGCCGCUAUUGGUACAGAUCUUGGUGGUAGUAACAAAUAAUCGAAUGAGACCUUGGAGGACUGAAGUGGAGAAGGGUUUAGUGUGAACAGUGGUUGAUCACGAGUUAGUCGGUCCUAAGUUCAAGGCGAAAGUCGAAAAUUUUCAAGUUUUAAAAAUGUCAAAUGAAAUAAUAAAUAAUAAAACGCUUGAAUAAUUUUGAACGAAAGGGAAUGCGGUUCCAAUUCCGUAACCUGUUGAGUCUCCGUUUGUUAUUAAAUAUGGGCCUCGUGCUCAUCCUGGCAACAGGAACGACCAUAAAGAAGCCGUCGAGAGGUAUCGGAAGAGUUUUCUUUUCUGUUUUAUAGCCGUACUACCAUGGAAGUCUUUCGCAGAGAGAUAUGGGAGAUGGGCUAGAAGAGUAUGACAUAUACUCUUGUGUCGAUAUUUUCUCCUCGGACCUUGAAAAUUGAUGGUGGGGAUACGCAAACUUCUCAACAGGCCGUACCAAUAUCCGCAGCUGGUCUCCAAGGUGAAGAGUCUCUAGUCGAUAAAAUAAAGUAGGUAAGGGAAGUCGGCAAAUUAGAUCCGUAACUUCGGGAUAAGGAUUGGCUUUGAAGAUUGAGAUAGUCGGGCUUGAUUGGAAAACAAUAACAUGGUUUAUGUGCUCGUUCUGGGUAAAUAGAGUUUUUAUCAUUUAUGAUAGUUAUCUGUUCCCCGGAUAGUUAGUUACGUAGCCAAUUGUGGAACUUUCUUGCUAAAAUUUUUAAGAAUACUAAUUUUUAAUUAGUUCUUUUAAAUUAUAACGAUUAUCAAUUAACAAUCAAUUCAGAACUGGCACGGACUUGGGGAAUCCGACUGUCUAAUUAAAACAAAGCAUUGUGAUGGCCCUAGCGGGUGUUUACACAAUGUGAUUUCUGCCCAGUGCUCUGAAUGUCAAAGUGAAGAAAUUCAAGUAAGCGCGGGUCAACAGCGGGAGUAACUAUGACCCUUUUAAUCGAGUUUAAUUCCGUUACACUCAACUGGAGAGGAAUCUGGAGUGGUCAGCCGGUAAAACGAUUGAUUGCAAAAGAUCUCCUCAUCGCUGAAGAUACCAAACUCAUCAGCGUCAGAGCAGUAAAUGGCCGAGUGACGUCCCUCAAAUAUUUCAUGUAUUGUGCUGGGUAUACUCGAAGCUAGAUGUACUAACCUUGGCAUUGUGCUACCUUGGCAUUCCAUCUAAAAAGGUACAAACAUCGCAUUGUCAAAAAGAGGUGGUUUUAGUACGUAGGCGCUUUGGGACUUCAUUGUCCCGAUGAUGCAGCGAAUCGUGCAUAUGAGAUUGUCCAGUAGUUGGUUGCUCGUAUCUUUUAGAAGAUUUCCUACCUCGGCGAUCAAAAAAAGAAAAAAAAAAAAUUACCAAAUGCCUCGUCAUCUAAUUAGUGACGCGCAUGAAUGGAUUAACGAGAUUCCUACUGUCCCUAUCUACUAUCUAGAAAACCACAGCCAAGUGA